rnacentral:tRNA from 1 species
AUUUAGCAGUAUAUGAGUACGGAGAGCUUUGAUUUCUCUAGAAAAGGGUAAUUCCUUUCUUUAU